AGCGAACGCUGGCGGCAGGCUUAACACAUGCAAGUCGAGCGGGCCUUUCGGGGUCAGCGGCGGACGGGUGAGUAACGCGUGGGAACGUGCCCUCUGGUUCGGAAUAACUCAGGGAAACUUGAGCUAAUACCGGAUACGCCCUUUUGGGGAAAGGCUUGCUGCCGGAGGGUCGGCCCGCGUCUGAUUAGCUAGUUGGUGAGGUAACGGCUCACCAAGGCGACGAUCAGUAGCUGGUCUGAGAGGAUGAUCAGCCACACUGGGACUGAGACACGGCCCAGACUCCUACGGGAGGCAGCAGUGGGGAAUAUUGGACAAUGGGCGCAAGCCUGAUCCAGCCAUGCCGCGUGAGUGAUGAAGGCCUUAGGGUUGUAAAGCUCUUUUAUCCGGGACGAUAAUGACGGUACCGGAGGAAUAAGCCCCGGCUAACUUCGUG
rnacentral:rRNA from 1 species